UACAGAGGUCUCAAGCGUUGUUCGGAUUCAUUGGGGCGUAAAGGGUGCGUAGGUGGCGCCGUAAGUCAGGUGUGAAAUUUCGGAGCUUAACUCCGAAACUGCAUUUGAUACUGCGGUGCUUGAGGACUGGGAGAGGAGACGUGGAAUUCAUGGUGUAGCAGUGAAAUGCGUAGAGAUCAUGAGGAAGACCAGUGGCGAAGGCGGGUCUCUGGGCCGGAUACUGACGCUGGAGGGAAGCGAAAGGCGUAGGGGAGGCGAACAUGGA
rnacentral:rRNA from 1 species